rnacentral:rRNA from 1 species
GACGAACGCUGGCGGCGUGCCUAAUACAUGCAAGUCGAGCGCAGGAAACUGACGGAACUCUUCGGAGGGAAGGCAGUGGAAUGAGCGGCGGACGGGUGAGUAACACGUAAGGAACCUGCCUCAAGGAUUGGGAUAACUCCGAGAAAUCGGAGCUAAUACCGGAUAGUUCAACGGACCGCAUGGUCCGCUGAUGAAAGGCGCUUCGGCGUCACCUUGAGAUGGCCUUGCGGUGCAUUAGCUAGUUGGGGGGGUAACGGCCCACCAAGGCGACGAUGCAUAGCCAGCCUGAGAGGGUGAUCGGCCACACUGGAGCUGCGACACGGCCCAGACUCCUACGGGAGGCAGCAGUAGGGAAUCUUCCACAAUGGACGAAAGUCUGAUGGAGCAACGCCGCGUGAGUGAUGAAGGUUUUCGGAUCGUAAAACUCUGUUGUAAGGGAAGAACACGUACGAGAGGGAAUGCUCGUACCUUGACGGUACCUUACGAGAAAGCCACGGCUAACUACGUGCCAGCCGCCGCCGUAA